UACGAAGGGGGGCUAGCGUUGCUCGGAAUCACUGGGCGUAAAGCGCACGUAGGCGGCUUUUUAAGUCAGGGGUGAAAUCCUGGAGCUCAACUCCAGAACUGCCUUUGAUACUGAGAAGCUUGAGUCCGGGAGAGGUGAGUGGAACUGCGAGUGUAGAGGUGAAAUUCGUAGAUAUUCGCAAGAACACCAGUGGUGAAGGCGGCUCACUGGCCCGGUACUGACGCUGAGGUGCGAAAGCGUGGGGAGCAAACAGG
rnacentral:rRNA from 1 species